AUACCCUAUUAUUUUAAGCUAUAUAUUGGUAGUAAUUAAUAAUUUAUGAAAUCAUAAGAUUUUGGCGGUAUUUUAAGCUUAUUAGAGGAAUUUGCUCUGUAAUGGAUACAACGCCUUAAUCUUACUUAAUUUGGUUUUAAAGUCAGUUUGUAUACCACUAUAUUUAAUUAUAUUGAAUAAUUAUAUUUAAGAUUUUUUUUUAUAAAAAAUAUAUUAAGUCAAGGUGCAAUUUAUAAUUAUGAAUGAAGUGAAUUACAUUAAUUUUAAUUUUACUUAAAUAUUGAAAAAAAAAAUUAUAGGAUUUAAUAGUAAAAU
rnacentral:rRNA from 1 species